rnacentral:lncRNA from 1 species
AAUUAUACUUUUAUUUGAGUCACCAGGAGAAAGAUUCACUUGUGGUUCAAGUCAAAUGUUCAGAAUCAUAACAGGCCAGAAAGGUUUGAUCCCGAGCACAAGCCCACGAGGGAGGGGACCAAAACAGACCAAAAUGAGACAACAACCCCAUAUAAAAAGAUGAACUGGCGGCUUCACACACUCACACACAUACACAUACACACGGAUGAAAUGUUUGGACAGAGGCAAAUUUCACGUGGUCAUUUCUGUUUCUUUUUAAAUACAGGUUUGUAGGGUGGUAUUUUGUUUUUUCCAGCUAUAAAAAAAGGCCCAAAAGUGCAUGUGUGAGGGGGGAAAGGCAGAAAUUAAGCAAUAAAGUCAUUUUCCCUGGAGGGACAUGAGAGGGAGAAAACAGGAGGCAGUGCUGGGAGAACGCACUUUCCUCACCACUGGGCUUCUUGUUAUUCUUAGUAUUGGUCCACAAAAGUUAUAUUCACAUUCUAGCUUUGAUGCCUCUUUCCUGGGAUUAAAUGAGCUGAAAGACCUCUGUGAACUGGCUGGAACGCAGGGCCCCAGUCCCAGCCAGCCUC